rnacentral:tRNA from 1 species
AUCGUUGAGCUGCAUUGGCGGGAUUUCGCCGUCUUCGUUUCUCUUUCUUCGCGGACGAACACGCGCUGGGCCUGCAUCAAGCAGGACCCACGGUCCCUGACGGGAUAUGCGUUAGGGGCUUGUAGCUCAGUUGGUUAGAGCGCGCGCUUGAUAAGCGUGAGGUCGGAAGUUCAAGUCUUCCCAGGCCCACCACUUUCAUCGAGUGAGCAUUCGUCUUCUGGUUACGGGGCCAUAGCUCAGCUGGGAGAGCGCGUGCUUUGCAAGCAUGAGGUCGUCGGUUCGAUCCCGUCUGGCUCCACCAGAUGGUUUGAUCACCGAGAUCUUGCACCGUCGUCCGCGAAACAUCACUUCGCAUCCUGCUAGUCUGGAUAGACAGCAAGAUGCGUGUUUUCUGACAUCGUAAAGAGGAGAUCGAUCCGAGUUGGGUCGUGCAGCAGAUUGUUGCGCGAACCUUCAUUAUCUCCGGAUCAUUUUCGGCGCUCGCUUUCAGCCGUGAGGUUGAAUGCGAGUUGUAAAAUGAUCCUUUUAGCGAAGCUUGACCGCCUCGCUAUCGGAACGAUCUUACGAAGCAAGCUGGUCUUUCUAGUCAAUGUCCGGCUGCACGUAGCAUUCAUCGAGGGUGCGCGCCGUAAGGCAAUCGUGCAGACAACAUUCUGCCGAGUGUGUGGACAUUGAUAAUGAGAGCAAUCAAGUGCCUUAAGGGUGUUCGGUGGAUGCCUUGGCGCUGAGAGGCGAUG